AUUGAACGCUGGCGGCAGGCUUAACACAUGCAAGUCGAGCGGGGAAAGGUAGCUUGCUACCUGACCUAGCGGCGGACGGGUGAGUAAUGCUUAGGAAUCUGCCUAUUAGUGGGGGACAACAUUCCGAAAGGAAUGCUAAUACCGCAUACGCCCUACGGGGGAAAGCAGGGGAUCUUCGGACCUUGCGCUAAUAGAUGAGCCUAAGUCAGAUUAGCUAGUUGGUGGGGUAAAGGCCUACCAAGGCGACGAUCUGUAGCGGGUCUGAGAGGAUGAUCCGCCACACUGGGACUGAGACACGGCCCAGACUCCUACGGGAGGCAGCAGUGGGGAAUAUUGGACAAUGGGCGCAAGCCUGAUCCAGCCAUGCCGCGUGUGUGAAGAAGGCCUUUUGGUUGUAAAGCACUUUAAGCGAGGAGGAGGCUACUUGGAUUAAUACUCUAGGAUAGUGGACGUUACUCGCAGAAUAAGCACCGGCUAACUACGUGCCAGCCGCCGCCGUGA
rnacentral:rRNA from 1 species